rnacentral:rRNA from 1 species
CAGGCCUCACACAUGCAAGUCGAACGCCCCGCAAGGGGAGUGGCCAGACGGGUGAGGAACCACGUGGGAACGUACCCUUUGGUUCGGAACAACCUCGGGAAACUAGGGCUAAUACCGGAUACGCCCUUACGGGGAAAGGUUUACUGCCGAAGGAUCGGCCCGCGUCUGAUUAGCUAGUUGGUGGGGUAAUGGCCUACCAAGGCGACGAUCAGUAGCUGGUCUGAGAGGAUGAUCAGCCACACUGGGACUGAGACACGGCCCAGACUCCUACGGGAGGCAGCAGUGGGGAAUAUUGGACAAUGGGCGAAAGCCUGAUCCAGCCAUGCCGCGUGAGUGAUGAAGGCCUUAGGGUUGUAAAGCUCUUUCGACGGGGACGAUAAUGACGGUACCGCGUAGAAGAAGCCCCGGCUAACUUCGUGCCAGCAGCCGCGGUAAU